AUUGAACGCUGGCGGCAUGCCUUACACAUGCAAGUCGAACGGCAGCGGGGGAGAAGCUUGCUUUUCCUGCCGGCGAGUGGCGAACGGGUGAGUAAUACAUCGGAACGUGCCCUGUAGUGGGGGAUAACUAGUCGAAAGAUUAGCUAAUACCGCAUACAACCUGAGGGUGAUAGUGGGGGACCGCAAGGCCUCCUGCUAUAGGAGCGGCCGAUGCCUGAUUAGCUAGUUGGUGGGGUAAAGGCCUACCAAGGCGACUAUAAGUAGCUGGGCUGAGAGGACGAUCAGCCACACUGGGACUGAGACACGGCCCAGACUCCUACGGGAGGCAGCAGUGGGGAAUUUUGGACAAUGGGCGAAAGCCUGAUCCAGCAAUGCCGCGUGUGUGAAGAAGGCCUUCGGGUUGUAAAGCACUUUUGUCCGGAAAGAAAUGGCUCUGGUUAAUACCCUGGGCCGAUGACGGUACCGUAAGAAUAAGCACCGGCUAACUACGUGCCAGCCGCCGCGGUAA
rnacentral:rRNA from 1 species